GGCGAACGUUAGCGGCGGGCUUAACACAUGCAAGUCGAGCGAGAAAGGGGCUUCGGCCCUGAGUACAGCGGCGGACGGGUGAAUAACACGUAGGUAACCUUCCUUCCAGCGGGGGACAACGGUCCGAAAGGACCGCUAAUACCGCAUACGUUCCCGUGGGACCCUGGUCCCGGGGAGGAAAGCUCCGCAAGGGGCACUGGAUGAGGGGGCCUGCGUAGCAUCAGCUAGUUGGUGGGGUAAUGGCUUACCAAGGCGAAGACGGGUAGCUGGUUUGAGAGAAUGAUCAGCCACACUGGCACUGGAACACGGGGCCAGACUCCUACGGGAGGCAGCAGUGAGGAAUAUUGGGCAAUGGGCGAAAGCCUAACCCAGGCCUACGCCGCGUGGAGUGAUGAAGGCCCUCGGGUCGUAAAGCUCUGUGGAGAGGGACGAAAACCCUGGUUUCAAAUAGGCUCCAGGCUUGACGGUACCUCUUUAGCAAGCACCGGCUAACUCUGUG
rnacentral:rRNA from 1 species